rnacentral:rRNA from 1 species
GACGAACCGUGCGAACGUUGUUCGGAAUCACUGGGCUUAAAGGGCGCGUAGGCGGGCCACCAAGUCCGGGGUGAAAUCUUUCGGCUCAACCGGAAAAGGGCCUCGGAUACUGGUGGCCUCGAGGAAGGUAGGGGCAUGCGGAACUUCCGGUGGAGCGGUGAAAUGCGUUGAUAUCGGAAGGAACGCCGGUGGCGAAAGCGGCGUGCUGGACCUUUGCUGACGCUGAUGCGCGAAAGCCAGGGGAGCGGAACGGGAUAAGAUGACCCUUGUAGUCCCU